UACGGGGGAGCAAGCGUUGUUCGGAUUUACUGGGACGUAAAGGGCGCGUAGGCGGUCGUGACAAGUCACUUGUGAAAUCUCCGGGCUUAACUCGGAACGGUCAAGUGAUACUGUCGGACUAGAGUACAGAAGGGGCAACUGGAAUUCUCGGGUGUAGCGGUGAAAUGCGUAGAUAUCGAGAGGAACACCUGCGGCGAAGGCGGGUUGCUGGGCUGACACGUGACGCUGAGGCGCGAAAGCUAGGGGAGCGAACGGGAU
rnacentral:rRNA from 1 species